CCGAAACUCCCCUUCCUCUCUCGCGCUCUCUCCUCGCCUGAUCGCCGGUCGCCGCGAGCCCACCGCCGGCAACAAUCUCUUUCUCCAGCGUGUCUCGGCUGAGCCUUCUCCCCCUCUCGUAACUCUGCCCUAGAUCGCCAACCGCGCCUCCUCACGCCAUCGCCCGACGCUAUGCCACAGCAGUCGCCGGUGAAGCUCGGUGUUGCGAUUAUCCGAGGGUUGGCUUACCAUGUCUCUCUCUCCCUCGAUUUAUUGGCCGUGCCCUAGUUGUUCUUGCAUCGUUUCUGCCCAAUUUCGGCGGACACCGCCCAACGCCGUGCCGCUGUCGUCGGAGGAAGGAUCGACGCAAAGGGGAGGUUAGGGCUAACUCUCCAUCUCGCUUGGGGACCUCGAUCAGUGCCGCUACCAGUAGGGGUGGCAUCUCCUCUCCUCUCUCGGCUAGGAGCACUGCAAUCCACGGUGUUGAUGCUGUCAAUCGCCAGCACUGAUCCACGCCAACACCCGAGCCCUAACCGCUUCCUUAUCAUCGGAUUCUCUAUGGAUCAACGAGGACCAUUGCCCUAGUUCCUUCCUCCGAUCACUAAAUCAUGCCCUAGCACUGCCGCUGCCCUUCCUUGUCCUAGAUCAACAUCACGGUAGUUGGAGGGAUCCUUCUUUGUGUGAUUUCAGAUCUGGAUUUAGGAUUUAAGGGGGGCUGGAUUUGCUGUGGCGAUUCUUCUUCAGCUGAGGAUUGAAUGAGGAAGGCUAUUAAGGACUUUGAUGUGGGAUGUUCAUCACGAUGUGGGAUUUAUGUUAUCAUGAUCGACAGAUAAAGG